UACCCAGAAGACACUGCGCGGUAGCGCGGGUUCGCUCGAGCCCGACUAAUGUUGUGACGUCUCGCUCACUCUCUGACAUCGAUUAACGCGGCCUGUCGGCGGCAGCCUGGAUCGAGGUAGAUCGACUCGAGUCGGAGUGAGCGCUGCCACAAAGCGGAAUUUUAAAAUACGACGGCCUCGACGAGCACAAGUAACUGCUGUCGAAAGGUCGCCAAGUCCUUUAGUUGCUCUCUUAGCUCGUGUACUGGACUGUACAUUUACCGGGGGACGGUUUUUGCCUACCUGAUAAAGAAGGGAUCUUGCCAUAAUCAGGUGUGAAUCAUCCGUGAAAAUGCUCUGGAGAAGGGUGGAUUAUUUUUUUCUUUAAAGACGAAAUUUAUUCUGAAGAAACCAACCUUGAACAAUAGUGCCCAGCUCACACUACCCCCUGUGCUUUCAAUGUAAACCGCUGCUUUGAGCAGAAAUAUGAAGGGUCAGCAGAGUGUGCAUUUCCUAACUACUAAACCUUUUUUCAAAGUGUAGUAUUUGCUUUCGGCCUAAGAGGUCUGUUGUGUUAUGUACCACUUGCUCUGCCUGUAACAUUUUAUAAGCAGCUGGUCUAUGGCAUAACUACAGCCAAGCGCAGUCUUGGGAUAUGAAAUAACUCAGACUUUCUCUGCAUUAAACUGGAAACGUUCCCUGAACGAUG